rnacentral:lncRNA from 1 species
CUUAAACAAUGUCUACACUGUAUUUCUGAUCAAUUUGAUGUUAUUUUAAUGGACAAAAUGUUUUUCCUUUUCUUUCAAAAACAAGGACAUUUCUAAGUGUCCCCAAACUGUUGAACAGUAGUGUAACUAAACCAAAAUGGAACAUGCAGAAAAUACAUUUCUGAAGCAACAAAAUGAUACCUUGUUCACCCCCCCUCAAUAACCCAUAACGAAAAAGCCAAAACUGGUUUAGACAUUAAUUUAUUCAAAAUAAAAAACAGAAAUAACACAAUUACAUUAAGUAUUCAGACCCUUUUCUCAGUACUUUAUUGAAGCACCUUUGGCAGUGAUUACAGCCUCGAGUCUUCUUGGGUAUGACGCUACAAGCUUGGCACAUCUGUAUUUGGGGAGUUUCUCCCAUUCUUCGCUGCAGGUCCUUUCAAGCUCUGUCAGGUUGGAUGGGGAGUGUCGCUGCACAGCUAUUUUCAGGUCUCUCCAGAGAUGUUAGAUCGGAUUCAAGUCCGGGCUCUGACUGGGCCACUCAAGGACAUUCAGAGACUUGUCCGAAGGCCACUCCUGUGUUGUCUUGGUUGUGUGCUUAGGGUCGUUGUCCUGUUGGAAGGUGAACCUUCACCCCAGUCUGCGGUUCUGAGCGCUCUGGAACAGCUAGUACAGCCCCUAGUACCUUAGGUAGUACAGUAUAGCCUCAGCUAGUCCAGCCCCUAGUCCAGCAGGUAGUACAGUAUAGCCUCAGCUAGUCCAGCAGGUAGUCCAGCAGGUAGUACAGUAUAGCCUCAGCUAGUCCAGCAGGUAGUCCAGCAGGUAGUACAGUAUAGCCUCAGCUAGUCCAGCAGGUAGUACAGUAUAGCCUCAGCUAGUCCAGCUCCUAGUCCAGCAGGUAGUACAGUAUAGCCUCAGCUAGUCCAGCAGGUAGUACUGUAUAGCCUCAGCUAGUCAGCCCCUAGUCCAGUAUAGCCUCAGCUAGUCAGCCCCUAGUCCAGCAGGUAGUUGGUUUUGAGAGAGAGCCUUGACAGAAUGAUAACCACGCCACAGAACUGUAUACAUUUAUCAAUGAUACAUGUUCCAACUCGGGUCCCUUGACACAGAGGCAAGUACGCUAACCCCAAGAUAGACAACUCUAGAGCUUCUCCCUAACCCUUAACCCUAACCGCUUAACCCUAACCCCAAGAUAGACAACUCUAGAGCUUCUCCCUAACCCUUAACCCUAACCCCAAGAUAGACAACUCUAGAGCUAACCCUAAACCUUAACCCUAACCCCAAGAUAGACAACUCUAGAGCUUCUCCCUAACCCUAACCCUUAACCCUAACCCUUAACCCUAACCCCAAGAUAGACAACUCUAGAGCUACUCCCUAACCCUUAACCCCUAACCCCUAACCCUUAACCCUAACCCCAAGAUAGACAACUCUAGAGCUAACCCUAACCCUUAACCCUAACCCCUAACCCUAACCCCUAACCCCAAGAUAGACAACUCUAGAGCUAACCCUAACCCUUAACCCCCCUAACCCCUAACCCUAACCCCUAACCCCAAGAUAGACAACUCUAGAGCUUCUGAAAGGUUGUUCUAGUGUGGAUAUGAAUGGAGGCUAUGGUCAUAACAGAGAACAGAAAAACAUGGAUGUCUGAGAGUAGUUGUUCUGCUGGUCAGGGAAGGCAAUAGAUUGUAUAGUUAUCUUCUGAUCAGGGUAAAAUCACUACCCCACAACAAUACAAUCUACUACCUCACAACGCCUCAGCAGAUAGACAAUGACUUCAUAAUGUUGACGAUGUACCUUGAUGAUUUCUUCCUGUUCGUUCUCAAAACACCACAGCAAAUACGAUCAGAAUAGAAUCUUUUACAAUGACCAUAAGAGGAGAUUGACUGUAGUAUCCUUGGUGAUUGACACAUUGAGAAAGACAGUAGGUUGUACAGUUAUCUCCCAGUGUGGGUGUGACCCUAAAACUAUCCAACCUACUACCUCAUCCCACUGAGCUGAGGAACCUGGAGAGGAACCUGGAGAGGAACCUGGAGAGGAACCUGGAGAGGAACCUGGUCUGAUCCACCUCACAGCAUCUGUUGAGAGAGAGACUGGAUAGUAAUACUGCCACUUUUAGGAUCAAUUCCAUCAUAUCAAACAAACAAAAAAUUUUUUUUUUUUUUAAUUCCUCAAUC